UACGGAGGGUGCGAGCGUUGUCCGGAAUCACUGGGCGUAAAGGGCGCGUAGGUGGCGACCCAAGUCGAUGGUGAAAGCUCGCCGCUCAACGGCGAGUCGGCCACCGAUACUGGGUUGCUGGAGCACUGUAGAGGCAGAUGGAAUUCCGGGUGUAGCGGUGGAAUGCGUAGAGAUCCGGAGGAAGACCGGUGGCGAAGGCGGUCUGCUGGGCAGUUUCUGACACUGAGGCGCGACAGCGUGGGGAGCAAACAGGG
rnacentral:rRNA from 1 species